rnacentral:rRNA from 1 species
GCGUGCUUAACACAUGCAAGUCGAACGAAGCACUCUAUUUGAUUUUCUUCGGAAAUGAAGAUUUUGUGACUGAGUGGCGGACGGGUGAGUAACGCGUGGGUAACCUGCCUCAUACAGGGGGAUAACAGUUGGAAACGACUGCUAAUACCGCAUAAGCGCACAGGAUCACAUGAUCCGGUGUGAAAAACUCCGGUGGUAUGAGAUGGACCCGCGUCUGAUUAGCCAGUUGGCAGGGUAACGGCCUACCAAAGCGACGAUCAGUAGCCGACCUGAGAGGGUGACCGGCCACAUUGGGACUGAGACACGGCCCAAACUCCUACGGGAGGCAGCAGUGGGGAAUAUUGCACAAUGGGGGAAACCCUGAUGCAGCGACGCCGCGUGAGCGAAGAAGUAUUUCGGUAUGUAAAGCUCUAUCAGCAGGGAAGAAGAAUGACGGUACCUGACUAAGAAGCACCGGCUAAAUACGUGCCAGCAGCCGCGGUAAUACGUAUGGUGCAAGCGUUAUCCGGAUUUACUGGGUGUAAAGGGAGCGCAGGCGGUGCGGCAAGUCUGAUGUGAAAGCCCGGGGCUCAACCCCGGUACUGCAUUGGAAACUGUCGUACUAGAGUGUCGGAGGGGUAAGUGGAAUUCCUAGUGUAGCGGUGAAAUGCGUAGAUAUUAGGAGGAACACCAGUGGCGAAGGCGGCUUACUGGACGAUA